UCAGUUUGACCAAUCACAAUCAAGGUUUUCAAAUAACUGCCCAAUUACGCUGCUAUACACUGUCAACAUGAAAAGAAUCGAAGGUUGACUUAAAAUCGUGUUGUUCCCCACGUUUGCUUUAUUUUAUUUUACCGACUCAAACUUGGCGAAGGUGGACGGCACAGACCUGAUACGAAGAUUGCACAGAAGGUCUGAUACGAGGGCCUGAGCAAUGAAGAGAGCUGUGUGGAGCUGAGUCUGCAGAGCCGAAGCAGACGUGGGCAGACGAGAAUACGGCCAGCAAAAAUACUUUGUUUUGGUGCCCAACAGGCCAUCUGGGGACUUUGAACUGCAAAACAUCCCACCAGGAUAAACGGUGUUAAAACUCCUCUCAACAUCCUGACAUCCUGGGUACCCUGGGUAUGGACAGCCAAAGAGAGGUUCAUUGGGCCCUGUGAUCGUGUCUGAAUUAAGAUAAGUGACGCAAGGAGAGUGAGUCAGAGCGACACUGUUCCUCUGUGGGUGCACAAACGAGAAGGUUGUCCACGCACUGAAUGAGAGCAAAGCCCUUUGUUAGAAAGAACACAUGACUUGAAAGAGUGCUCUAAUCUUACAGAGAUUUUUUUUUUUUUCAUAAGUUAUUAAACUAUCUUUCCAGGCUAUGUGAGAACAAGUGGAAUGCCAAAUUCUUCCCAUCUUUCGAACUCCCUGCUUUGAACUACAUGACUGUGAAUUAUACCAUGGA